rnacentral:rRNA from 1 species
GGUUUACCAGGAUGGGUGGCGAGUGGCGAACGGGUGAGUAAAGCGUAGGAAUAUACCUUAAAGAGGGGGAUAACCUGGGGAAACACAGGCUAAUACCGCGUACACUCUACGGAGGAAAGCUGGGGACCGGAAGGCCUGGCGCUUUAAGCAUAGCCUGCGUCCGAUUAGCUAGUUGGAGAGGUAAAGGCUCACCAAGGCGACGAUCGGUAGCUGGUCUGAGAGGACGAACAGCCACACUGGGACUGGGACACGGCCCAGACUCCUACGGGAGGCAGCAGUGGGGAAUAUUGGACAAUGGGGGGAACCCUGAUCCAGCAAUGCCGCGUGUGUGAAGAAGGCCUGAGGGUUGUAAAGCACUUUCAGUGGGGAGGAGGAUUACAAGGUUAAGAGCUGUGUAAUUGGACGUUACCCACAGAAGAAGUACCGGCUAACUCCGUGCCAGCAGCCGCGGUAAUACGGAGGGUGCAAGCGUUAAUCGGAAUUACUGGGCGCAAAGGGUGCGUAGGUGGUUAAUUAAGUUAGGUGUAAAAGCCCUGGGCUUAACCUAGGAUUGAGAUUUAAAACUAAUUAACUAGGGUAUUGGAGAGGGUAGUGGAAUUUCCGGUGUAGCGGUGAAAUGCGUAGAGAUCGGAAGGAACACCAGUGGCGAAGGCGGCUACCUGGCCAAAUACUGACACUGAAGCACGAAAGCGUGGGGAGC